UCCUUGGUGGCUCAGACGGUAAAGAAUCUGGCUGCAAUGCAGGAGACCCAGGUUCAAUCCCUGGGUUAGGAA
rnacentral:tRNA from 1 species